GAUGAACGCUGACAGAAUGCUUAACACAUGCAAGUCUUUGGCGAAGCUGUGCUUGCACAGCCUAGCCAAGGCGGACGGGUGAGUAACGCGUAAGGAACUUGCCCUGCAGUCAGGGAUAACAGACGGAAACGACUGAUAAGACCUGGUAAAGUCAGGCGGACUCAUGUCCAGCCUGAUGAAAAGUGAUGCUGCAGGAGGGCCUUGCGUCCUAUUAGCUUGUUGGUGGGGUAACGGCCCACCAAGGCGAUGAUAGGUAGCCGGCCUGAGAGGGUGGACGGCCACAAGGGGACUGAGAUACGGCCCUUACUCCUACGGGAGGCAGCAGUGGGGAAUAUUGGACAAUGGGGGCAACCCUGAUCCAGCAAUUCUGUGUGCACGAUGAAGGUUUUCGGAUUGUAAAGUGCUUUCAGCAGGGAAGAAAAAAAUGACGGUACCUGCAGAAGAAGCGACGGCUAAAUACGUG
rnacentral:rRNA from 1 species